rnacentral:lncRNA from 1 species
GAUUUAUAAACUAACUAUGCACACGGCGCAAGAGAGAGAACGCGGGAGACUUACACGCUAACUAUAUACAAUAUAUACAGUUCAAGCGAGGGUGGUCGUGCGCGCGCACGCGCAAGUACGCUACCAACGUCGGGAGCACCCUGGGUUCGGAGAGGUAGCACCCUUCUCCGUGAUCCCGUCUGGAAAGGAAGGCUCGGAGGAAGUCUCGGUCGAGGCUCGGGAGCACUCUGAGUUAUUUUGCUCGAGACGGGACCUGAUGCCGACUCGUCCGGCGAGCCGGCUUAUAUACCGCUCUGGCUGCUCUUACCUUUCAAUUUUCUCGGUGGGAAGUGGGUUUCCCCACGGUGGGGAUUACACGGGUAGAGGCACUCUAAGAGCGCCGGACUGGUGAUGAUUAUUGAGAACAAUAUUAAAAAAUAUUAAUUCAAAUAAACCUCUAAUAUUGCGUUCUGAUAUCAUUAGCAACAGCUAUAAAAGGUUUGCAAAUGGUAAAUUUGGUAUACAAACGGUUAAUGAUAAUUAGAAAAUCUUUCUACGAUUCUAAGAUACUGACAAAGUGAUACAACAAAGCUCUCAUGAUAUAAGUAUGAGGAACAAAAUAAACACAUUAGUAUCUGAUGAGUCUUUUGUUUCAUAUUUAUAUCAUACAGGUUAUCAAAGAAAUAUUCAGAUAAAUAUAAACGAGAAUGGAAGGAACCAUGAAAUUUAUAUGGGCAGUAAAGAUUGUGAUACUCAAGAAAAUGAUGAAAUUCCAGAAAAUUAUUUUACGUGUUUGAUGUUGACACAACAUUUAAAGAUUUGCUUAAUCCGAAUGAAAAUAUUGAUACUGAAAACGAACAUAUGAAAAUCUUAAUUUCUUCUACAUAUAAUUGUUCUAUAUCUGAUAAUAUGAAGAAAUGUUAGAGAAUUAAUAUUUAAUUCUAUUGAAGAGCUAUCAGAAGACAUAAGAGAUAUACACGUAUGUUAUCUGCAGAUGUAGGAGAUAUACCUGUGUUAUAUCAGCAGCAUACUGUCAAUGAUAUGAUAUUUUAUGAUAACAAGAAAGAAUGUAGCGAUGAAGAAUAUGUAUCUGCAGAACGAAGUUUUUCACAUAAUAGUGAAUCUCCACAAAAUAAUAUUUCAAAUAAUGGCAUCCGCUUCUAGUUUCAAUGAAUCGCAAAUUAAUACAGUUAGUUCAUGCAAUGACGAAUUAAUGUAUGUUAAAAACUAAAAAAGAAUCGACUAAAUGAAACUGCUGUAUUUUCUGUAUAAAGUUGCAAUCACAACUCGCAUGACAUUUGCAAACUGUACAUUAUGAUGAACCUGAUGUUAAACAAUUUAUCAUUCUACUAAAACGAAAUCCGGAAAGAAGAAAGAUAAUAAAUACUCUACGAAAUAUGGUACGACAUCACGCUCGAAAAUGUUUUGAAAAAGAUUCUCGAAAGAAUCAAAAUGUUGUAGCUAUUGGAGGAAAAAUUGCAGAUACAAUACAUCAACUAGCAAAUGAGACUUUAAAGAAUACAGUAUUUCCAGUAAUGCGAGAUGAUAUAGUAACAUGUAUUGUGAGAUAUGAUGAAUUAUUAAUCAUAUAUGCUAAUAAGUUAUGUGUCAAAUAUAAAUCCCAACCAGCACGAUAUGAUAAGGGCAUGUUUAUGCGUUUACAUCUUAAUAAAUUGAUCAAUUUAUUUGAUUAAUUCCUUACUCAGCGAAAUUCUUAUUGCUAAAAAUCAUCCCAAGAAUCAGCCAAGAAUCGAGCUUGGAUCACUUACUUUCCUUCGUAUGAGUGUUUUAACCAUUCGAUAACAUGUGCAAUAUUUACCACAAUAACCAGAUAAGAAAAGAACGCGUAAAGAAUAAAUAAAGAAUAUAUAAAUU